GUAGUAACAGUGGCAGCACAGAUCUCAAACUGGAAUGGUACUGAUGGGAUUAGCAUGGCCCCUGCUCAACGACAAGCAAAUUCCUGAAGUGUUCCAUAUUUGU
rnacentral:snRNA from 1 species